CUGGCGGCGUGGAUAAGACAUGCAAGUCGAGCGAUGAUCCAACGAUAGCAAUAUUGGAGGGGAUUAGCGGCGAACGGGUGAGUAACACGUAGGAAUCUGCCCUGAAGUUCGGAAUAGCCCGGUGAGAGCCGGGAUAAUACCGGAUGUGAUCUUCGGAUUAAAGGCUUCNNNGCCGCUUCAGGAUGAGCCUGCGCUCCAUCAGCUUGUUGGUAGGGUAAAAGCCUACCAAGGCGAGGACGGAUAGCUGGUCUGAGAGGACGGCCAGCCACAAUGGAACUGAGAUACGGUCCAUACACCUACGGGUGGCAGCAGUCGAGAAUCAUUCACAAUGGGCGAAAGCCUGAUGGUGCGACGCCGCGUGGGGGAUGAAGGCCUUCGGGUCGUAAACCCCUGUCGGUUGCGAGUAAGGCCCGGCUUACGUCGGGAUUGAUAUUAGCAACAAAGGAAGGGGCGGCUAACUCCGUGCCAGCAGCCGCGGUAAUACGGAGGCCCCAAGCGUUGUUCGGAUUUACUGGGCGUAAAGCGUGCGUAGGCGGCGAGGUAAGUUUGGCGUGAAAGCCCCGGGCCCAACCCGGGAAAUGCGCUGAAAACUACUUCACUAGAGGUGUGGAGGGGAGUCUGGAAUUCCUGGUGUAGCAGUGAAAUGCGUAGAUAUCAGGAGGAACAUCAGUGGCGAAGGCGAGACUCUGGAAACAUUCUGACGCUGAGGUACGAAGGCUAGGGGAGCGAAGAGGAUUAGAUACCCUCGUAGUCCUAGCAGUAAACGGUGUGCACUUGCUGUGGGGGGAUUCGACCCCUUCCGUGGCGAAGCUAACGCAUUAAGUGCACCGCCUGGGGAGUACGGCCGCAAGGUUAAAACUCAAAGAAAUUGACGGGGGCCUGCACAAGCGGUGGAGCAUGUGGCUUAAUUCGAUGCAACGCGAAGAACCUUACCUGGGCUUGACAUGUUUGUCGUACCUGAGUGAAAGCUCGGGGUCAGUUCGGCUGGACAAUCACAGGUGCUGCAUGGCUGUCGUCAGCUCGUGUCGUGAGAUGUUGGUUUAAGUACCGCAACGAGCGCAACCCCUGUGUCCUGUUGCCACGGAGAACACGUUUCUCCAGCACUCUGGACAGACUGCCCCAUUUUUAGUGGGGAGGAAGGUGGGGAUGACGUCAAGUCAGUAUGGCCCUUACGCCCAGGGCUGCACACGUGCUACAAUGCCCGGCAUAAUGGGAAGCGAAAUCGCGAGAUGGAGCCAAUCCCCAAAACCGGGCCCAGUUCGGAUUGGAGUCUGCAACUCGACUCCAUGAAGUUGGAAUCGCUAGUAACGGCGCAUCAGCUACGGCGCCGUGAAUACGUUCCCAGGCCUUGUACACACCGCCCGUCACAUCAUGAAAGCCGGGAG
rnacentral:rRNA from 1 species